AUUGAACGCUGGCGGCAGGCCUAACACAUGCAAGUCGAACGGUAACAGGAAGAAGCUUGCUUCUUUGCUGACGAGUGGCGGACGGGUGAGUAAUGUCUGGGAAACUGCCUGAUGGAGGGGGAUAACUACUGGAAACGGUAGCUAAUACCGCAUAACGUCGCAAGACCAAAGAGGGGGACCUUCGGGCCUCUUGCCAUCGGAUGUGCCCAGAUGGGAUUAGCUAGUAGGUGGGGUAACGGCUCACCUAGGCGACGAUCCCUAGCUGGUCUGAGAGGAUGACCAGCCACACUGGAACUGAGACACGGUCCAGACUCCUACGGGAGGCAGCAGUGGGGAAUAUUGCACAAUGGGCGCAAGCCUGAUGCAGCCAUGCCGCGUGUAUGAAGAAGGCCUUCGGGUUGUAAAGUACUUUCGGCGGGGAGGAAGGGAGUAAAGUUAAUACCUUUGCUCAUUGACGUUACCCGCAGAAGAAGCACCGGCUAACUCCGUG
rnacentral:rRNA from 1 species